GUAUAUAUUAGUAAAAAAAAAGAAUUGUAAUUGAACUAGGAAUUGUAAUGCUAUUCAAUUUCAUAUUCCUAUAUAUGGUUUAUUGCCCAAACCAAAAAGAAAUUAUAAUUCAACUAGAAAUUGUAAUCCUACUCAUUUUCAUAUUCAUAUAUAUGUUUUAUUGGCCAAGCCAAAAAGAAAUUCUAAUUGAACUGGGAGAAGGAUUCUAUCCCACCACAUGACAUCUAUAAAUAGAUGCAUUGUCUCCAUAAUUUUAUCUUCAAUCAUGGAUUGUGAGCCUACGACGAAAAGGGCAUACUCAAGGUAAUUUUCCUCCUUUUUUUUUUUUAUUUUUAUAGCUUGACAUGUCUGUCGUAGAAAAUUCAUAUCUCAUUGUAGAUUAAUCAAAAUCAUGAACCGUUUGAUUUUUCAGAAACUAGAUUUUUCGAUCUCUAACAUACCCGAAAUUCAAAAUUUAAUACCUUCAGAAUCUUUCUAAAUGAUUUUUUGAAGUAAGCUCUAGAUUCUGUCAUGCUAAAAAUUCGUCACUUUUUUUUACUGCCUGACAUGUUUGUCGUAAAAAAUUCAUAUCUCAUUGUAGAAAAAUCCAAAUCAUGAACCGCUUGAUUUUUCAGAAACUAGGCUUUUCGAUCUCUAACAUGUCCAAAAUUUAAAAUUUAAUACCUUCAGAAUCUUUCUAGAUGAUUUUUUUUAAAGUCCGCUCUAGAUUCUGCCAUGCUAAAAAUUUUCAGAUUUGUGUGACUUACUAAAAAAAUCUCGUGUCUUGACGUAGGAACAAUGAAAUCACAAUCCACUUGAUGAUUCCAAAUCUAGACAUAAAUGUCUACAACACAUCCAAGAUUCAAGAUUUAAUACCUUCCGAGUCUCAAACAUCUUGACGGAAAGGAAUCAUAGUGAACUUGACAGGAGACGACAAAAAAGUGGCUAAGCAACAAACUCGGAAAUGGGGUCAUAAUCAUGGAUCACAACUUUUAUUACGCUGAGAGAUUCAAACAAGCAAAUGAAUAUAGUAAAAAACCAUGGAACAGAGCGAAGGCAAAUUUGAAGCACAAUUAUUUUAGUAGUCCUUGGGUAGGAGCUUCAACAGUCGCAGCCAUCAUACUCCUCAUACUCACAACUAUACAAACUAUUCUGGCUUUCACAGGUCCUCUUAACAAGUAAUUAUCUCAAUUCUAGUGUUUCCUCAUAACUCCAUCCAUGUAUUUUAUAUGUGUGUUGAUGAUCUUAUUAUGAGUUAAUUAAUUUUAUGUCCCCCUUUUGUAUUGA